UACAGAGGUCCCAAGCGUUGUUCGGAUUCACUGGGCGUAAAGGGUGCGUAGGCGGUCGGGUAAGUCUGAUGUGAAAUCUCACAGCUUAACUGUGAAACUGCAUUGGAUACUAUUCGGCUAGAGAGUUGGAGGGGGGACUGGAAUUCUUGGUGUAGCAGUGAAAUGCGUAGAUAUCAGGAGGAACACCGGUGGCGAAGGCGGGUCUCUGGGCCGUAACUGACGCUGAGGAGCGAAAGCGUGGGGAGCGAACAGG
rnacentral:rRNA from 1 species